AAACAGGGGAGCUUGUUUUUCGGGCUGAGAGGAAGUAAUUGAGCUUCGACCCUUUACCUGAUGCGGAUAAUGCCGCCGUAGGGAGUGAUAU
rnacentral:ncRNA from 1 species